rnacentral:hammerhead_ribozyme from 1 species
AUCUAGCUGACGAGUCUCAUAUAGGACGAAAUGCACUUGCCGGAU